rnacentral:rRNA from 1 species
UACAGAGGUCUCGAGCGUUGUUCGGAAUCAUUGGGCGUAAAGGGGGCGUAGGUGGCUAGGUAAGUCGGAUGUGAAAUCCCGGGGCUCAACCCCGGAACUGCAUUCGAUACUGCUUGGCUUGAGUACUGGAGAGGAGAUUGGAAUUUACGGUGUAGCAGUGAAAUGCGUAGAUAUCGUAAGGAAGACCGGUGGCGAAGGCGGAUCUCUGGACAGUUACUGGCACUGAGGCACGAAGGCCAGGGGAGCAAACGGG